UUAACUAUAUCUAAUUUAAUUCAUUUAGGUCAACUGUAGGGGACGAAAACAAAAUUAAAUGUUAAGAUUCACCAGGUCUCUGGUGGUAAAAGUUUUACCAGUAAACUUAGGAUUUGCCGGAGUUCGAGAUUUGACAGUACCACAUACGAUGCCUUAACUCACAACUUGUCGCUAUCGUCUGACUUACAUUCCAUGCUUAAUAUUUAGUACAAAGAGCGCUCACCAUCAUCUUUCUACCUCUCUAUUAACACUACGAUAACAUAACGUUUAUUUUUGAGAAGUGUGUACACUAGUCAGAUCAUAUUAAGAUCAUAUUUUAUUGUACCUCUAAUUUUUUUUAAAUGUAUAAGUGUAUCAAAAUAUUGAAUUGAACAUUAUAAAAGGGUUAAAAAGGGGUUAAGCACCAAAUACCCAGCGUACUUACCCCUAGAAGAGAAUUAGAGUUCAGUGAUGACAAACUAAGACGAGAUGUUUACCGCUUACUUAAAACUACUGUUCACCCCGAUGUGGAUCAUUUUCUCAUAUAGCUACUCAGAGCAGGUUACAACAGUCGGGACACUGCGAGAUAUGGUGGACAGCACUCGGCUGCGUCCCGGGGCCACCCCGAGCCAGGUGGACACACGAACCGGCUGCAUGCUAUAAACGUUAUUAUAAAUUGAGGAAUGAAGCGACGUCACUCUGUGUGUCCACACCGUUCAGUGUUGUUAUGUUGUCGUCUUUGAACUAACCUCACAAUUUAAUUUGACAACAGUUUAAUCAAGUGAAACUGUGUGAUCAAAAGCGAUGUCGGAAACGAAUAUUAAGUGGAGAGCUCCCGCUCUGGCGUUGCGAGCGUCACUAUGGGGUAAAGAGAAAAGAAGUUAAACUCGAAACAAGCUAUAGGACUCAUACAUACAGCCAAGGAUCCAGCAGUCCGACAGGGACAAGCUGAGUGCUGUUGUUUCGCAGAGGUGUGUGCACGUAGCCUUAUGUAUCCAAUUACAAGAAACUUUUUAAUUACACCGUAUUACUUUUUUGGCAUAAUGAUAUUUUCGCUCAAUGUAAACGAAACGAACGUGUGAGAGUCCAAGUACGGUAUUUAAUAGCACACUCUGGAUGAACUUACAUCGUGCUGAUAGUGUCGGGUAUGAGCACCCUCGUGAAUACUUGCACUAAUUGCAUUUUAGUUACAUUUGCGAUACAACAAAACCAUCUCCCGCAGUCUCUUAGAAACUACUGCGAAGUAACCAAUGGUGACUUUCAAUUUAUAGCUUUGAAUCAAAGAAGGUUUAAAUAAACGCUUUGAGAAUAAAGACACGUCUCCGAAAUUUAUAGAAGUGUGUAUCAUAAGGUUAAGCAGGCGAGAGUAAUCAGUUAGUGAUGUUGAUGUUGCUGGCUCAUUAAUUAGCGAGCGGCGGCGCGAGUUAUGAUGUCAGUAAUGGCGGCCGUUAUACAGAUGUCAGGGACCAGGACUUCCUUCAGUGAUGCACCUCAAGUAAUAGUAAGAUGUCGACAAACACUUCCUAGCCUAUGCAACUCUGUUGUCGCGAACGUUGUAACGAAUCGUUCAUUCGUUAAAAAACAAAAAUAUUGUUUAUGGUACCGCAAAUUUGGCUGUCACUGCUGUCAGUGUCAGUCACGAAGUUUAGUUUGUUUUAAAAUUACAAAUUUUUGUUACUUUGUAAAUUAAGAUAAAUUGAGUUUAGUUUUGCUUUUCAUAGAAGUUUUCAAGCAAAAACAGCAUUCUGCCGGUGCGAUUAAAUACGGAAUCAAUAGCGCGAGCAAGUCCCGAGCAACUGACAACGCGGCUUGAAUAUAUGAAAACAUAAGAAAAAAUAACAGAGUGUAGUGAGUUUCGUCGAGCACACCCGCAGCCCCGACCACUCACUUGGAGAGUCUCCAGUGAAUCAAUCAUUACCGGGCUCAUUAUACCAGUGUCCCGAGGCGGGCGCGGUCCCCACGCGCGCACGCCGCGCAUACCUACUUGAUAUAUUAGAUUUGUGUAACAUUCAUUAUACUUCCUUUAAAUUAUGUGGAGCUUUAAACAUUACUUCAUGUUUUUAAUAACACGACUGGAUGCCAGCUACGAUUCUUUAUUGUUUUUCUAGCAACAUGUACAAUAGGCGAGUUACAGACUUUUACAAAUAUAAAGUAUUCAAUAAGCGAGUCGUGUCAUUCAGUUAAAUACCAUUUCAAUUAAUUUAGGAAAAUAUGGACAGGAAGAGUUUUUUUUUCAAAUCAAUAAAAAAAAUCAUCAAAUUACGCCUUCCACUUUGGGAUUAGCGGAAGGGAGUCUCAGGCUUCUACUAUCUGUCCGUGUUACACAACUCGUGUACACGACCGGGAUCCCGAUAACCAUUGCGGAUAAUCCCGCGAUGCGAGACGAGCUGAAGAUCUAGUUUAGUGGCGUGCCAUAGGAGAGCCAGCAGUGGAUUGUUUGUCAGAGCUGGUCCAGAGAUGUGGAUAUUGGUGGGCAGUACGGGCUGCGCGGAGGCCGCGCCAGGCAGCGCACUGACGUCAACGUCGUCUCUGCAAAGCUCUCCGUCAUAGCUGAGUAAGAAGAGUGGUCGAUCUCAGUCUAUAUCACAUUACCGACACACACAGCGCUCGUAUCUACUUAGUCUACCUGAACCAUAUAUAAUAUAAAUGUAUAAGCGAUUAAAAAACAUUAACUAGUUGUGGAAAUUUUGCGCAUUCCAGCCGCACUAAUGACGCUGGUAUGGGCAACUAGAACCGCGCUCUUAACUAGUAAAAUGUUCAGUAAGUGGUCUCAUUGACAUACCUGCGUUUGAUUUGCUAUGCCUUUUACAUUGACUGCACCCGAUUAAAAUCUCGACAUUACAUCAUUCUCAUUGAUCAUAAACAAAUAAAGCACAACAUGUAAAAACAACUAUUUACACAUGUUGGGUAAGGACGAACUGUGUCAGGUAUGAGACGCAGACAAACAUUUGGCAAGUCAGAACAUAGCCAACAUCUCACACGAAUCAAAGCAAACUGGGCGAGCCGUCAGUCUAUGUUGA